ACUCCGAGUCAGCAUCUGUAGACCCGAAACCGGGUGAUCUACCCAUGUCCAGGAUGAAGUUGCCGUAAAAGGCAAUGGAGGUCCGAACGCACAUCCGUUGAAAAGGGUGGCGAUGAGGUGUGGGUAGGGGAGAAAUUCCAAUCGAACCCGGAGAUAGCUGGUUCUCCUCGAAAUAGCUUUAGGGCUAGCCUCGCGUAAGCCUGCCGGAGGUAGAGCACUGAAUUUCCUAGGGGGCGUCAAAGCUUACCGAAGAAUAUCAAACUCCGAAUGCCGGAAAGGCGGUGCGCGGGAGUCAGACCGCACGAGAUAAGUUGGGCGGUCAAAAGGGAAAGAGCCCAGACCUACAGCUAAGGUCCCAAAGUACGUGUUAAGUGGAAAAGGAUGUGGGAUUUCAAAGACAACUAGGAUGUUGGCUCAGAAGCAGCCACACAUUCAAAGAGUGCGUAAUAGCUCACUAGUCGAGAGGUCCCGCGCCGAAAAUGUCCGGGGCUGAAACACGACACCGAAGCUUAGGAAUGAUACAAAGGUAUCAUUGGUAGAGGAGCAUUGGGCGCUGGGAGAAGCUGCACCGAAAGGAGCAGUGGACGGCGCCGAAGAGAGAAUGCCGGAAUGAGUAGCGAGAGGGAGGUGGGAAUCCUCCCGGCCGAAUAUCCAAGGAUUCCAGGGUAAAGCUGAUCUGCCCUGGGUAAGUCGGGGCCUAAGGCGAGGCUGAGAGGCGUAGCCGAUGGACAACAGGUGGAAAUUCCUGUACUAUGAUCGCCCAGAACUGUGGGGACGCAUCUGUAAGGCGCGAGCCGGGAGAGAGAGACCCGGUACAAGCGGCAGAGGAGUCAGACAGGCAAACCCGUCUGGCAAUCCGAAACCGUGAAGAGGACCGAACAAGAGUAGGGAAGCGCGGUGAGCAGGUGCCAAGAAAAGCCGCUAUAGCAGCGAUCAUACCCGUACCGUAAACCGACACAGGUGGAUGGGGAGAGAAUCCCAAGGCCGACGGGAGAAGCAUUGUCAAGGAACUCGGCAAAAUGACCCCGUAACUUCGGGAGAAGGGGUGCCCCUGAGAAGGGGCCGCAGAGAAUAGGCUCAAGCAACUGUUUAGCAAAAACACAGGUCUAUGCGAAACCGAAAGGUGAGGUAUAUGGGCUGACGCCUGCCCGGUGCUGGAAGGUUAAGAGGAGAGGUUAGGGAAACCGAAGCCUUGAAUCCAAGCCCCAGUAAACGGCGGCCGUAACUAUAACGGUCCUAAGGUAGCGAAAUUCCUUGUCGGGUAAGUUCCGACCCGCACGAAAGGCGUAAUGAUUUGAGCACUGUCUCGACAAUGCACCCGGUGAAAUUGAAGUGCCAGUGAAGAUGCUGGCUACCUGCGCCAGGACGGAAAGACCCCAUGGAGCUUUACUCCAGCUUGGCACUGGGAUUCGGUGCUGCAUGUACAGGAUAGGUGGGAGGCAUUGAGGAAGCGGCGCCAGCCGCUUCGGAGCCGAUGUUGGGAUACCACCCUUGCAGCACUGGGUUUCUAACCUGCGGCCGUGACCCGGCCGAGGGACAAUGUCUGGCGGGGAGUUUGACUGGGGCGGUCGCCUCCGAAAGGGUAUCGGAGGCGCUCAAAGGUUCCCUCAGAAUGGUUGGAAACCAUUUGAAGAGCGCAAAGGCAGAAGGGAGCUUGACUGCGACACCGACGGGUGGAGCAGGUACGAAAGUAGGACUUAGUGAUCCGGUGGUAUAAAGUGGGAUUGCCAUCGCUCAACGGAUAAAAGCUACCCUGGGGAUAACAGGCUUAUCACUCCCAAGAGUUCACAUCGACGGAGUGGUUUGGCACCUCGAUGUCGGCUCAUCGCAUCCUGGGGCUGUAGCAGGUCCCAAGGGUUGGGCUGUUCGCCCAUUAAAGCGGUACGCGAGCUGGGUUCAGAACGUCGUGAGACAGUUCGGUCCCUAUCCGGCGCAGGCGUAAGAUAUUUGAGGGGAGCCGUCCUUAGUACGAGAGGACCGGGACGGACGGGCCGCUGGUGUACCUGUUGGGGAUCGACCCCAUGGCAGGGUAGCCAAGCCCGGCAGGGAUAAACGCUGAAGGCAUCUAAGCGUGAAGCCCCCCCCGAGAUGAGAUAUCUGAGAAUGGAGCGCAAGUGAAGUUCAGAAGAUCCCUUAGAGAGAAUGAGGUAGAUAGGAAUGAGGUGUAAGCACAGCAAUGUGCUCAGCUGACAUUUACUAAUAGGUCGAAAGUUUA
rnacentral:rRNA from 1 species